UGGAAAGUUCAAUAUAAUACCAUGAAUGUGUCCAAAUGCAUUCCAUCUGCUUAUGCAAUGAUGUAUGAGCGCGCUUAACUUCUUUAUUUUAUCAUCACAUUCAUUUUUCUGACACAAUUGAUUGUGACAAGCUGCAAAAGAGCAAUCAAGUGUGAGCGUACUGUGUAUAAAAUACAGCAAGAGGUUUUUUUUCUUUUUUUCCCCUCUUUUAAUAGAUUUUUCCCCAUCCCAGCAACCUCCGUGAAGGGCGGGUAUUUUUUCCAAUCCCCUUCCCCCCCCCCCCUAUCAUCCAGACAAUGUCUUUGUUAGAAGUGUCCAAGGGCAAAGUGGAAAUAUGUGACCCUCUCUCCUCGUCUUCAAUGGAGGGUUGAGCUCCGGCACUGCUGUCAGUGUCAGAUGCCAACACUGAUAAUGCCAGGGGCGAGAUGGCAACUGUCCACCCUGGAGCCUGCAUUUUAAAACUGCUCCUGCCUGCAGCUUUCAGAUGGGCACUGACUGCAUAGAAGAGCUGUGUCACAAGAGAAAAAAAAGCUCACUUUGAAAUAAUUCCAGAGCCAAGUUGCAAACAAGUCGGAGGAUUGAUGUUCACCACCAUGUUGCAUCACCACUUUUACCAACACUGAGCAUGAGGACGAGACCCACUGAAUUCUGAAUCGCUGCACAGUUUAAGAGGUCA
ensembl:lncRNA